rnacentral:rRNA from 1 species
UUCAUGGAGAGUUUGAUCCUGGCUCAGGACGAACGCUGGCGGCGUGCCUAAUACAUGCAAGUCGAGCGGACCGACGGGAGCUUGCU